rnacentral:rRNA from 1 species
UAGGGAAUCUUCCACAAUGGGCGAAAGCCUGAUGGAGCAACGCCGCGUGAGUGAGGAAGGCCUUCGGGUUGUAAAACUCUGUCAUUCGGGACGAACCGGAGUCUGAGGAAAUGCAGACUCUCUGACGGUACCGGAGGAGGAAGCCCCGGCUAACUACGUGCCAGCAGCCGCGGUAAUACGUAGGGGGCAAGCGUUGUCCGGAUUCACUGGGCGUAAAGCGCGCGCAGGCGGUGAUGUAAGUCUGAGGUGAAAACCCGAAGCUCAACUUCGGGACUGCCUUGGAUACUGCGUCACUUGAGGAUAGGAGAGGCAAGGGGAAUUCCACGUGUAGCGGUGAAAUGCGUAGAGAUGUGGAGGAACACCUGUGGCGAAGGCGCCUUGCUGGCCUAUUUCUGACGCUGAGGCGCGAAAGCGUGGGGAGCAAACAGG